rnacentral:rRNA from 1 species
AACGAACGCUGGCGGCGUGCUUAACACAUGCAAGUCGAACGCGAAAGGGACUUCGGUCCUGAGUAAAGUGGCGCACGGGUGAGUAACGCGUAGAUAACCUGUCUUCAUGUCUGGAAUAAUACGCCGAAAGGGGUACUAAUACCGGACAUUCUUGCUUUUCAUAAGUUAUGCAAGCAAAGGUGGCCUCUGCAUAUGCUACUGCAUGAAGAGGGGUCUGCGUACCAUUAGCUAGUAGGUGGGGUAAUGGCCUACCUAGGCGACGAUGGUUAGCGGGUCUGAGAGGAUGAUCCGCCACACUGGCACUGGAACACGGGCCAGACUCCUACGGGAGGCAGCAGUGAGGAAUAUUGCGCAAUGGGGAAACCCUGACGCAGCGACGCCGCGUGAGUGAAGGAAGGCCUUCGGGUCGUAAAGCUCUGUCAAGAGGAAAGAAGUGUACAAUGGCUAAUACCUGUUGUAUUUGACGGUACCUCUAAAGGAAGCACCGGCUAACUCCGUGCCAGCAGCCGC